rnacentral:rRNA from 1 species
ACCUGGCUCACGCCGGUUUAAACUCAGAUCAUGUAAAAUUUUAAAGGUCGAACAGACCUAAUUUAUUAGCUUCUACACCAAUAUUAUAUUUUAAUCCAACAUCGAGGUCGCAAUCUUUUUUUUCGAUAAGAACUCUAAAAAAAAUAACGCUGUUAUCCCUAAGGUAAUUCAAUCUUAUAAUCUUUAUAAAGGAUCAUUCACCCAUAAAUCAAUGUUUAAAUUUAAAAAAAGUUUAUCAAAUUUUUCAAUCACCCCAAUCAAAUACUAACAAAUAAUCAAUAUUUUCAUCUACCAUCAUCAAUUUGGGUUAGUAUAAAACUCUAUAGGGUCUUCUCGUCUUCUAUGCAAAUUUAAGCUUUUUAACUUAAAAAUAAAAUUCUAAUAAAAUCCUACAGAGACAGAUAUCCUCUCAUCAAACCUUUCAUUCAAGCUUCCAUUUAAAAAACUAGUGAUUAUGCUACCUUUGCACAGUCAAGAUACUGCGGCCAUUUAACUACUCAGUGGGCAGGCAA